UUUUGUUUGAAAGGUGGCUUCGGCUAUCACUUCUGGAUGAUCCCGCGGCGUAUUAGUUAGUUGGUGAGGUAAAGGCCCACCAAGACGAUGAUACGUAGCCGACCUGAGAGGGUAAUCGGCCACAUUGGGACUGAGACACGGCCCAAACUCCUACGGGAGGCAGCAGUAGGGAAUCUUCCACAAUGGACGAAAGUCUGAUGGAGCAAUGCCGCGUGAGUGAAGAAGGGUUUCGGCUCGUAAAACUCUGUUGUUAAAGAAGAACACCUUUGAGAGUAACUGUUCAAGGGUUGACGGUAUUUAACCAGAAAGCCACGGCUAACUACGUGCCAGCAGCCGCGGUAAUACGUAGGUGGCAAGCGUUGUCCGGAUUUAUUGGGCGUAAAGCGAGCG
rnacentral:rRNA from 1 species